UAAUAUAUAAGGGAUUUUACAGAUAUUCUAUCUCGAACCAUCGAUAAGAAUUUGUUAAUUGGUAAAUUUUUCUUUUAAUAUGCAAAAGUUUUAUUGUUAUUUUAGAUGUUGUAUUUCAAGUAUUUCUCAUUAUAUUUUCUUUACAUAGAUAUAGUAAGACAAAUUGUUUGUAUUGGAUCUUUACAAGAGCUUAAGUCUAAAGGAAACACUACUACAAAAAUUGAUAUUAUGCUUAGAGAUACAAGAUAAACUGUAAAUAACUAAUUUUUUUGGUAAAAUAUAAGUAGAUAAAUAAUUUUAGAUGUGUUUACCUUUAUACUACGUGUUUGUAGUAUUUGAUUUGUCCAAAAUUUUGCAUGUUUUUAAAUAUAAUGGUAUGGAUCUGCCAUUCACUCUUUGGAAAGAUUAUGCUACUCAAGUCUUUAAAUAUUUUGCAAAACUAAAACACUGCAACUAAACAAUUCAUAAUUAGAACUGUGAGUAAAACAAAAUAAUAAAAUAAUAAAAAUAUCACCCAGGUUAUUAUAUUUUCAAGUUUUUCGUAAAUAUUUAUACCCGCGCAAGAGUGCGAAUGAGUCACCUAAUAUAUAUAUCCCUAAUAUACUAAAGCACAAGUUACUUUAUCACUAAACUAUUAACAAAUGUCGUAGUUUUACGAAAGAAAAAAAAUCUAUUAUUUUUUAUCUCCUAUUUUUCUGCAAUCUUAAGUAUCCAAAAUCUUUUUUUCCUCAAAAUUUCCAUCCACGUUUCAUAAUCUAACUGCUUUUAUUUCUUUUUUUUUUUGUAAGCACGCUUUCAUAUUAAAAUUGCAUGAGAAAUAAAAACAAUUACAAGCCUAAACUAUAGUUAGACCGGAAGCUCAGUAAUUAGACCCACUUAGGAAGUUACAACAGUUAUUAUAAGAGGCCCAUGAAGACUUGGUAAAAAACAAUUUGGAUUUCUUCUGUAGAAGUUUUGAUGAAAACAAGAGAAGAGAAAGAGAGGAGAUAAAGACUCAGUGACACUACAAAAAAAAUCCACAUUGAUAACACAUUACUGUAGCACGUUUUACUGAACUGCUAUCGUAGAUGAGUUUGAAAUUUCUGUAUUCUAUAAUAGCAUUAGAUAAACGCUAUGCUAGAGUUUCACUAAGAGGGAACCUAAAAUUAGUUUUACCGCGAUAUAUUUCGCGAAAAUUACACCACUAAUCACUUUCCCUCUCUCAACUCUCAUUUUCCCUCAGACAUUAUUCUUCAAUUUUAAACCUUUGACAUUUUUUGUUGGAAAAUAUCAGCUAAUUGGGUUCUUCUCGAUCAUUUGUAACCUAAUAUGUCUUCUUAAUUGUACACAUGAGUGGUUGCUUCAAGAGACCACGCGAGUCUCAGAUCAAUAGUUUCUUCUCUCCCAAGGCCACGAGACACUUCUUAGAUCCAGUCAUAAUCAGAUUCCUUAUCUGGGGAAGCUACAUUCGACGCCAUCUCCGCCGUAAUCUACAGAAGAGACGUGCCAAACUGAGACACGCCGCUACAUUUAACAGUGAAGCUCUGUGAUUCAACAGCAGCUGAGAUGCUGAUGGUUGCUGGAGCUGAUUGGACUUUGUAGAACGAAGAUGGCUGGAGCGUGUUGGUAAAGCUGAUUGGACUCUACAAUUUUGUUUCUGAACCCCUAAUCAGAUUCAUAUGUACUGCAAUUUGUCUCUUCUUAUACAAAAUCACUGGCCGAUAAGGUACUGCGAUUCAGAUUUGUUACACAGAAUCAGUGGCCAAUGAAAUUGAUUAAAAAUGGCUAUUAAUUCUGAUCAAGAGUAGAAGAAUCUAAGGUACGUUUUCUCACUUGGAAUCUGCCUUAGACUUUCUACAAUGCAUCACAGAUACUCUCAUAUACACCUGGAUGAACAUAUAUCAACAUGGGAUGUUGUUUAAACUUAUGAUUAGAGCUGAUCAGAAAUUUGUUCUCGACUGAAUCUAGAUUCUCCCUAAUUGUGUAUCAGUCUCGAGAUUUUUUUUGAUGAGUUAAUGAUGUGGUUGUACUUGUAUGUUCGGUGAUCAUCUUCGUCGUUUGUAGAAUCUAGUAGUAUGCUUUUAUGUUGUUCAUUUUCGUAAAGCUGAGAACUUUUGGUAGUUUUUGUUGGUCCCUAACCUUGUGUGAGCUUUUCUUACUAUCUUAGUAUAUAUAUGUAUAAAGAAAACAUCUUGAACUACUAGUAGAUAGUAACACAUGUCAAGAAUCACUUGUUCUUCAUGACUUUACAAUCCAAAUAUAAUUUCAGGAAAGUUACGUCUAUUCAAGAAUCCAUUGUGAUUCUCUUAGACAGAAUGUGAAUGAAGGUCAUCUGAAAGAAAUAUUCGGUAUGUGGAUUGGUCUUGCUUAUCCUUUGUUCUUGUCUGAUUUCACACACGAUAACUGUGUACACCAAUACUUUGACCUCAACUAAGAUUAGUAGUAUAGUUCAUGGAUAGUCGCUGGCAUUAUGGUUGUUGUAUUUUGCUUGUUCUGGCCAUUUUGCUUGGCUGCAUGUUAAGUCUUCACACUGACACUGGAAGUUGAAAUUCGUGAAUCACGUCUUGCUAAUACUCUCUGUUUCAUCAGGAUUAGUGAAAAGGUAUGUGAUUUGAGUCUCUUACGGUUAAAGAAAACUCUUAAUUUUGCUUCCAGUUCAGCUCAUCACUUUUUUCUUCGUGCUUGCUUCUAGUGUUGUUUUAUUGGCAGUGCGUUAUUCUCAAAGAACCUUUCCAUUAGAGGAAGACCACGAAGACUUGCAUUCACUUCAAAGGAUGAUUUAGGUUGCCCUGUAACUCAUCACCUAAAGAUGAUCUAAACUAAUCAUGAUCUUAAAUUCAAAAUUUAAUCAUUUUAAAAAUACAAUCUAAAAUUUAAAUUUUAAUCUUCAAACACUAAAUUAUAAAUCUACACCCUAAAACUAAUCCCUAAACCCCAAAAUGAAACCCUACAUACAAAGUCAUAAAUAUAAUCUUUUCAAAUUUAGUCAAUCACACAACAUCAAAACUCAAAUAAAAAAUAUAGAUUUCAAAUUUUAAAUUAUAAUAUCAAAUUAAUUAAAGUUUAGAUAAUUUAAUAAUAACUAUGAAUAAAUAAAAAGAUAAUUUGUACUGUUUUUUUGAACCAUUGAUUGAUUUAGAUCAAAUGUCCAAAAUCAUUCUCUUAGCUAUCCUCACCCUUUUUUCUAUUGGUUUGGCAUGGAUCACCAUUUCCACCCACCCUUGGAUAAUAUUAAUCAACGCUUGAGAUUAUCUGUCCUUUUUCAUUUGUUUUUUAAUUAUUUUCUGAGAUCUGGACGUCUCGUGUUUGAGAAGAGAGAAAGAGUUAGAAAAGCCAAAGAGAAAAUAGAGAGAGAGAUGGAAUUCGGAGAUGGUAGAGAUCUGUUCGCACUCCCUUUGAUUCCGUCGCAGUCUUCACCACCACCACCACGGUCACCUCUCUCUCUGUUUUGAAUCUUCUCUCUCGUGAGCAGAGGAGACAAUAUAUGGUGGUAUGCAGGACUGGUAUGUCUCUGGUCAAGAUCUGUGUUGGCUUCACCUCCUCACCACCACCACAGAUUUAUUAAGGAGAAGGGAAGGAGAAGCAGUGGUGUGACAUAGCGGCGUUUCCGGUCAAGCGUGAUGCGGCAGUGGUGCAAGCCGGUGGUGUGGUGGUGGUCGUGCGGUGGAGAUGCGGCGGAUACUGAAGAAGAUUGUAGUUUAGUGGGUGUAUUAGGUUUAGUUAGGGUUAAUUAGUAAACCAUUUUGUUAUUGUAAACCAAUGUAAAUUGUAAACCAUGUAAACCAAAAUCAAUUUAUAAAAAUUUCAAUUUAUUAUU